CCUCUCUUUCUUCCUCUUUGAGGGCAUCUGCUCCAAGCUGCUAGAAGAUCCCCAAACCAGAUCAGUCGGACGAGCACAGAUGCCCCCUCAGAUCCUUGCACAGACACAGCACAGGAGAUGGCACGGUCAGAGCCCGGCAUCACCAAGGACUUGUAAUCGACAGAGAUCUGUCUCCAAGUCCAAAGCCUAGCUAUGAAGACCAGAAGCCUGUGGAAGGUCCCCAUGCCUGACGUUCUUUGCUGUCACUUGCCACCAUGCACCCACUGCUUCCCUAGGAAGGUCUUGGUGGGGGAAGCAUGAAGACGAGUUGGCCAGGAUGCUCUCUCCACAAGAGAGGCGGGAGGACCCUGUCAAGCAACAACAGCACUUCUCACCCGCUAAACCUUCUAAGCCCUUUGCAAAUAUUGACUCUUUUGAUUCUCACAACUAUUGUUAGCCCCAUGGUGAGGAUGGGGAGCCCUGUGUGGCUACUAAGUGGUAAAACCAGGAUUUGCCUGCUAUGUGAUGGCAACAUGGAGACUAAAUGCGGGUGAAGAAAGAAAAGCAUCUAACUCAGCCUGGGAGAGAGACUGAGACCACAGGAUCUGAGAGAUCCCCCAGCCAACCACCCUUUACUGGGUGCUUAACAUUUGCAUCCAAACCUCCCCUUUCUCUCCAAUUUUUCCGUAGUUUUAGUUCUGUGGUGUGCCUUGUGUUCUCUCUUCCCUCUGCCCCUUCCAGGACCUCACCAGUGUCCUGGACAGUAGCACUGACCAGUCAGGCAAGAGAAGAAUCUAGGCUGAGAAUGGAGGGGGUGGAGAUUGAGGGGUUUUUUUUUUCCCCUUCUGUCUGAAAUAACCAUUGACAGACAAUUUAGAGGCUCCACCACCCACUGUCUCUCCCUCAUCAGUGCGAGGGACCUCAGUCUCUAUACAUCUCUUCUGUGGAAGCCAAGCAUUUUGCUAAAAGGCCUGAGAAUCUCUGCUGAGAAAUGGGUCUCACAGCACAACCUACCCCCCAGAGUCCUGACCCUUUACCCCACCAACCCCAGGAUGACUCCAGAGCACUUUGUCUGAGUCCAUCAAGCUCCAAGUAUGCCAGUCUCCCUGGGCCCCAAGAAGGACAAGGGAAGGGAAGCCCCUGGGUCUUCUGCCUGUUGCUUCCUUCUAUUCCAAGGCAACAAAGCUGGAGCUGAAAAUGAGCUCACACGGAGUGGCACAGGUGGGGGCUGCACAGAGGAGGUGGGAGAUGUCAGCGGACAAGCAGCUAAUCCCUAGACACAACAUGCACACUCACACACUGGGUGUGGGGCUGGUGUUGGUUAGACAAAACUUUCCCAUCAGGGUAGGGGGCAGCAAUGAGAUUCUGCAUUAGAGCUGCAGAAGGUAUGGGACCAUGAGCCAGCACCCCCUGCCACUCCCACCUCCACCCCAACAGUCAGUGGAGUCAUUGCCAUUUGAUAUCCGCUGAGACAACUUGGCUGCUCUGGGCCCUGGGUGGGGGAGUGGGGGGUGGCUUAGAAAACAGCAGCUCCUUUCAGGACCCAGGUUGGCAAGGGCUUUGGGAGGCUGGACUGGCCCAGAUCACCCACCAACUCCCCCUCUUUUCCUCCCUCCCUCACCACUACCACCAAAGGAUUGGGGUGAGGGUGGAGUUGGCACUGCCUGGGCCAUGCCUAUUGCCUCAGGAGUGCAGCCUGGACCGUCUCCCUGGCAUGACGCUUCCCUCCCUAUGCCCCCCCAUCCUCCUCCUUGAAGGACCAGCCAUGAGCCGAGACACCUGGCUUCUUCUAGAUUUGGUCCCCGAUACUCAGUCUAUACCCUCGGAAAUUAACAAGCCUUCCCUUAGCACAGGACGGUGCCUAUCAUCAUGCCAAGAGCAUGUUCAAAAAAUCCUUGGAGAUCAGUGAGUGAGGUUUAGGCUGAAGCAAGCAAACUUGGUGGUGGCUGCCAGCCUCUCCUGAGGCUGGCAUCUUGAUACCCACUCUGUGCCCUUCCUCCUCAGCACCCCUAAACAGUAGAGCAUCAAAUCUUCCAUCACCAUCUCUCUCCCACCUGGACUACCUAACACUCCCUAAGGGGGAGAAAAAAAUUCGGAUGCCUGGGUGAGGGCAUACUGGCUGGAAGUCGAGUCAGAAUGUGCGUUGAUAAGCAACCUGAUGAGGUUUUAAACUCUGCCUUCCCUUUGGAGCCAAAUUUGUACUGGUCUUUCCACCACCGGUCCGCACCUGCCCCCACCUGCCUGGGUGUGUUGGGAUGAAAUCUCAAGACACCAGAGGCCCCAGGGCUACUUUGUCUCAGGUUCUUCCUUCUACCCAUCCUGAGGUUCAGUGGUCCUCCCUCAAAUCGGCAACUUGCAGCCUUCAGUUCUUCUCUAACUCAGGUGCGCUUGGUGGGGUCCUGGUGGCAGGGGGUGGGGGAAGGGGAAGAACAGGAAGGGGCCUCUCUGUUCAGGGGGUGAAUUUAUGGAUUCCAUCUGCUCUCUUACUCCAGAAGAAGCAGUCCUGCUCCUUUUCUCCCUGUGAAAUAGCUGAGGAGGGGUGGGAAGUCGAAGGGAAGGGUGUCGAAGUAAAAGCUAAGUCAGAAAAGGGAGAGAUGGCCGGGCAGUGACGGAGACAUACCAGACAGCUGUGCCUCCCUAAUCUAACCUGUGUUUGUCUCCCCACGUGUGAACUGGUGGUUGUGGGUGUCAUCAUAUGAGUGUCACUGUGACAGGGGGUUGGGGAGCUGGCCAGGGAAGUGACCCAUCCCUGUUGGGAGAAGAGGGCGCUGUCUGUGCGCCUUGGUAGAGGGUGCACAUUUAUGCAGGGAGGUGGCUGUAGUAAUCGGAACAGCAGGUGUGCCCAGUGGGAGGGGUCAUCGGGAAAGCCUUCCUUAAGCUAAAGGUCUGAAGUGACCAUCCUGGAUCGAGUACCCCUCGCGGAGGGCCCUUUCCAGAAGGGUCUGUUUGGGACUGCCCAAGGCAGGAGAGGGGACACAGGAUGGUACCCCCGAGGCCAGCCAGGGAACGGACUAGGGAGUCCGGGGGGGGCGGCGAUGAAGUCUCUGGAGAGUUAAGUGGACCCCGGCCAGGGCGGCAGCGCUUCAUCAGGGCCAGGGUCUUACCUUGGGU